rnacentral:lncRNA from 13 species
AUGGAACCGUCCCAGGUAUGGGCCCUCAGCCGCCCCGGGACGGCCUCGGGAAAGGGAUUCGUGGACUGCCUGGCUGAGAGCCAGCCGGUGCUCAGUGAGCGGACCAAGGGGCCUGUAGGCCUGGGAGGAGAGACGGGAAGAAAUACAAUCUUCACCUGUCUCCUUGCUGCCUGUGCUCAAGGUGUGGAUCCUGGUCUUGCACAUCAGCAUGAAUCAAGAGCAGCAUUAUGGAUGAUUGUAGGCUCACACUGGCACAACACCAAGCUCACAUCACCAGCUUCUGAGCUGAACUUCUGGUUGGACCUGGCCACCGUCUCCAGGGGAUUCCCUCUGGCUCAAGCUGGCAUGGUAUUCCCUCUUCUCUGGGCUCCCCCCUGCUCAUGGCGCAUUGCUGCUCUGGCUGCUCCCUGACACGCUGAACUGGAAUGACCUCCCCUGACAUGGAAGGUGGGACAAGCACUGUGCUUGAGCAUGCUGGCAGGGACAUGCAAGAGGUAAUUUUAUGCUCUUUUAAUCUUCCUGUUCUCAAAAAUAUAUUCAUGAUUAAGCUGGCAAUGUUUCCACAAAGCAAAGCUGGGAAACCCA